GGCCCGGGGUCCUGGCGGCGGUGGCCGGGAGAGCCGAGGCGAGGGCGCCGAGCCCGGACUGCGAGGGGAGGCGGAGAGACGGGGCAAUUGACUAUUGCUAACAAGUUCGCCUUGAUCGAGGAGUAAUCAAUUAUCUGCCCCGCACUUCUCCUCCUCUCUCCGCUCUCCCGUCUUUCUCCCCUCGCUCCUCUUUCUCUCUGUUCUCUCUCCCCCUGUCCUCUCUCUCUCCCUCCCUCCCUCCCUCUCUUCACUCCACUCCGCUCCCCCCGUCCCUCUCUACCUCUCCCUCGCCCUCUCUUUCACUCUCGGUUCGUCCAAUGCAGGCGGCUCUAAGUUGGGAAGCUCAUUAAUUAGCGGGCCGGGGGUAGGAGGAGCCGCUGGAAUUAGCCUAAUGCGCCUGUCCGUCCCGGCUCUGCGGCCGCGCUCGGCCGAGAGGUUUGUAAAUUACGUUACGGGCGCCUUUCUCGCUCCCGAGCCUGGGGUGAUGGGAGAGCCACCGCCCCCGCCCCGGCCUGAGGGCAGCGCUCCGGGCCCCGCCGCCUCCCGCCCGCCCGGAGCUCUGAGGCUCCGGCGGCCGCGGCCGUGAAGCGGGGGACGGGCACCCGGAGCCCCAGCCGCGGAGCGCCGCGGCCGCCGCGCGGGCCAGGAUCGAUCCCCUGCCAUAUGAUGGGUUCAGAAAUGGAGAGGAAGAAAAGAUGGAAGAUUAGGCUGAAGCGAGGAGCAGACAGGGGGACAGAAAAAUGUACCCACCACUCCCCCAAAUUCUGGGGGGUCUGUGAAGAGGGUAAAAGAACCUGUGUGUCUAUGAGGGGUCCCCUUGCUCUGUUCCAGGCAGAAGCUGGCAUUGGUGUUGCACUUCGAAACACCAGAAUCGUUUGGAAUCUGCUCCCUUUGGCCUGGCCAGCUUUCUUCACGCCCUGGGCUCCUGGUCUGGAAGGCUGGAACCACCGAGUCCCACAUCCACCCACGCCUCUGGCUCCUCCAGUCCCUGGAUUUCUCCUGCCCAGGCCACGCACAUCUUUCACUUUUGUGAGAUCAACCCCUCCGGUUCGGUUCUUCAGCUCCUUUCUGCCCCAGUUUCUCUUAGUGAAUCUUGGGCCAGGACUCUCUGGCUCCAGCAGGAUCUUGAAGGAGCCCCGCACAGCCAGACACCGGUCAGGAGGCAGCUCACUCUGGCCGGCUGCGCCUCCCUCCCUCCUGCCUGACACACCAUCCCUUUUCUCAGCACCCCCUUCUUGUUGAUUUGAAUUUGUUCUGAGGUAUUUGGUCCUGGCUCCUGGGGAAGCCUGGACUUCCUGAGCGGCUGUGGCAGAGGGGUUCUCUCUAAGCCAAACAUCUAAGCACUUCCCAGGGGCGGCGGGCAGUCCAGAUAUCCUCAUAGACGAAUAGCCACGGGUGACUCCUCCCCUGAAGACUGACCGCGUAUGGCCGGCUCUGUGGCCUUAGGAAAGUCUUAAGGUCUCCGAGCCUUGGGAGCAGCGGGUUUGAAGGUUUACAGUGGGUGACGGGAGACUGGGCAUUUUCUUUUGUUUAGGGGAGUGCACCUCCUCGCUCAAGCCUAAGCAGGAAGCAAGGUUGGAGAGAAUGUGCCGAUCAGAAGCGGCCAUUUGUUUUAAGGAGUAUUUUGGAAACAAUUGGCAGCUGUUUCUCCUGUCUGUUCUGUACAGUUGAUGGGUAUCAGGUGUGUGAAUCCUCUCCAGUACUUGUCAUGGCUCCAUUCGAUGAAAGAAACCAGAGGUUAAGCUCUGGUUUGCUCCAUAAGCGUUCUUUGAACCCGGAUCCUGAUCUGAGCUUCUCUUCUCUUUAAGCCCGGUCUACUUGUUUCUGACUAAGAAAGUUUUGAAAACCUCGGUUUUUUUCUUUUCUUUUCUUUUCUUUUCUUUUCUUUUCUUUUCUUUCCUUUCCUUUCCUUUCCUUUCCCCUUCCUUCCUUCCUUCCUUCCUUCCUUCCUUCCUUCUUUCUUUCUUUCUUUCUUUCUUUCUUUCUUUCUUUCUUUCUUUCUUUCUUUUUCCUUUUCAAGACAGAGUUUCUCUGUGAACCUUUGGCUGUCCUGAAACUCACUUUGUAGACCAUGCUUACCUCUAACUCACAGAUAUCCACCUCUGGAGGAGUGCUGGGAUCAAAGGCAUGAACCAGCACCGCUGGGCCUUUUUUUGUUUUGUUUUGUUUUUUGUUUUUGUUUUUGUUUUGAGACCAGGUUUCUCUGUGUAUUCCUCAUGGUCCUGGAACUCACUCACCCUGUAAACCAGUUUGGCCCGGAACUCAAACCCUGCUUCGUCCUCUCGUGCUGGAAUUAAAGGCGUGCACCACCGUGCCCAGAUGAAAGCCUCAUUUUGCAGUAAACGAUUUUUGUGCCAUCCAGGGAAGGAUGGAAGUAAGACCCACGGUGGGACUUCCUGCAAGUUACAGGAGAAACACAGAGCGGUUAGGGAUGGGGUAGGGAGGUAAUGGCUUCCCGGCCAAGAAAGAAACCAAAAGAAACCAUCGUCCAUCAGAGACCAAGCGGAUCCCUGAAACUGCGGAGGUGGGCUUGGCGGUAGGGAGGCAGAGUGGAGGCUGGAGACUGAGGCCCUCUGGGCGGGCAGCGGUGGGCUCCAGCGCGGCUCUCCCGGACAGGGUCCUGGCCCUGUGGUAGCCGGUACAGACCAAGCGUCCUGCGCCACAAGUCCCAUUACAUUGUAUUUAUGUUUCACUUUAUUGUUUUUUUCCCCUCUCUUAUUAUGGUCUCACUCUGGGGGAGGCAAAGGAUAUAAUAUAUUCAUCUUUAUUAUACCAAAUCUGUGUGAAGCAUUUAAUAAAACGCUGU